rnacentral:rRNA from 1 species
CCUACGGGAGGCAGCAGUGAGGAAUAUUGGACAAUGGGCGCAAGCCUGAUCCAGCCAUGCCGCGUGCAGGAAGACGCAUCUAUGGUGUGUAAACUGCUUUUGUACGGGAAGAAACACUCCCUCGUGAGGGAGCUUGACGGUACCGUAAGAAUAAGGAUCGGCUAACUCCGUGCCAGCAGCCGCGGUAAUACGGAGGAUCCAAGCGUUAUCCGGAAUCAUUGGGUUUAAAGGGUCCGUAGGCGGUUUAAUAAGUCAGUGGUGAAAGCCCAUCGCUCAACGAUGGAACGGCCAUUGAUACUGUUAGACUUGAAUUACUAGGAAGUAACUAGAAUAUGUAGUGUAGCGGUGAAAUGCUUAGAUAUUACAUGGAAUACCAAUUGCGAAGGCAGGUUACUACUAGUGGAUUGACGCUGAUGGACGAAAGCGUGGGGAGCGAACAGGAUUAGAUACCCUGGUAGUCCACGCCGUAAACGAUGGAUACUAGCUGUUGGGCGCAAGUUCAGUGGCUAAGCGAAAGUGAUAAGUAUCCCACCUGGGGAGUACGUUCGCAAGAAUGAAACUCAAAUGAAUUGACCGG